rnacentral:rRNA from 1 species
UACGAAGGGGGCUAGCGUUGUUCGGAAUUACUGGGCGUAAAGCGCACGUAGGCGGACUAUUAAGUCAGGGGUGAAAUCCCGGGGCUCAACCCCGGAACUGCCUUUGAUACUGGUAGUCUCGAGUCCGGAAGAGGUGAGUGGAAUUCCGAGUGUAGAGGUGAAAUUCGUAGAUAUUCGGAGGAACACCGGUGGCGAAGGCGGCAUCCUGGACCGGCAUUGACGCUGAGGCGCGAAAGCCAGGGGAGCAAACGGG